GCUUGUCUCAAAGAUUAAGCCAUGCAUGUCUAAGUAUGAAUGUUAUACAGUGAAACUGCGAAUGGCUCAUUAAAACAGUUAUUGUUUAUUUGAUAAUCAAAUUUACAUGGAUAACCGUGGUAAUUCUAGAGCUAAUACAUGCUGAUAUGCCUGACUCUUAGGAAGGGCUGUAUUUAUUAGAUAACAAACCAAUAUUCCUCGUGUCUAUUGUGAUGACUCAUAAUAACUGAUCGAAUCGCAUGGACUUUGUCCGCGAUACAUCAUUCAAGUUUCUGCCCCAUCAGCUUUCGAUGGUAGUGUAUUGGACUACCAUGGCUUUAACGGGUAACGGAGGAUUAGGGUUCGAUUCCGGAGAGGGAGCCUGAGAAACGGCUACCACAUCUAAGGAAGGCAGCAGGCGCGUAAAUUACCCAAUCCUAAUUCAGGGAGGUAGUGACAAGAAAUAACGGACUGAGGCCUACGCUUCAGGAUUGCAAUGAGUAGAAUUAAACCCCUUGC
rnacentral:rRNA from 1 species